UUUAGAUGAGAACAGGUUUGUAUUCCUCUCUUCCUGCUGCUCACCUACCACCCGAAAUCCUCGGCUGCUCCUUGCAGUUCCUACCACGACGGCGAGCGAUAUACCGAGUGAUAUCCCGAGCGAUAUCCCGAGCGGAGCGCUGGAGCUCCAGGGAGACUCUGCAGAUCCUGUGGAGUGCAGGAGUCCCGGAGAACAGAGACUGAUGGAGCGAUGGCUCCAGGCUGGGAUUUUGGAGAGUGUCUACAUGGUGUCAUUUUCUCUCAGUGCUCCAUUUCUAAAGAUAACUGCUCUGUGUUUGGAGAAGCUGUUCUGUGUUUCCAACCCCUCGACAGCACGGGCUGCUGAACAAGAACAUAGUGACGGAAAGCAGCUGAAGAAAGGAAAGCUGUUCCUGUGGUAGGCUUCAGAAAAAUUGCUGCUUGUCUUCCCUCCCCCACAGCGCUGAAUCCCAGCACCCCAGACUGUCGUGACUGCCGGGGAUUGGUGACAUCUCGAGUGACACGUGUUGGAGCAUCAGAACAGAGUGGGAGCAGCACAGCUUGGCUCUGGGAGCCCAAAAUAGGCAGUGCUUCCCAGAAAGCCCUGGCAGCCUGGGGAGUGGUGGGCACUGCAGUGACACCCCAGGGGAGCAGCUGAGUGCUACUGAUUGCUGGAGUCCCCAAAUGCAGCUGAGCAGGCCCCUGACAGUUGGUGGGUGCCAGAGCUGGAGAGGGAUGACAGUGUUCCGUAGCCCCUGGGAAGUGUGCCUUGGGCUCCUGUCAGUGGGUGCAGGCUGUUUGGGCUGUGUGUGGGAAUGGGGAGCAGCUGCCACGUGCCAAGAACGAGGGGAGUGAAGGAUUGCCACUGUAUGAUCCAACACUGAAUUUUGAUCCAUCAGCUCAUCUGAUCCAUCUGAUCCAUCAGUUGGGCCUUUCAGGAUAACCUGGCCUAAAACCUUUCUGGGGAAAGGCCUUGCUUUCCCUGUGCAAUCCUACGGUGUCCAAUACAACGGGACCCAACCUCAGGUAAGACCUUUAGGCACUCCCAUUAUAUGAAUGAGAACAAGAUUGUUGGUGUCAGUAAUUAACAUUCUUGUGGGGUUGUUGUAAAUGCUUUGGGAUAAACACCACCUGGAAUCCUCGCCUGGCUUAUGUGGUUUCUAAGCUGCAGAGGAGGCUGAUCCUGUUCGCAGCAGAGGCCAUGGACCAUCUGUCUCCACUUGCUGGAUGUACAAAGUCUUUCAGUCCAAAGAUGAGUAGCAGUAGCUCAGGGAGACGUUGGGAUACCGGAAAAGUGAGGGCACAGCCGGUGGGGAAGAAGAUUGGAGACUCAGCGGUCAGUGUGUCCCCAGUAACGAUCUCACCUGAGAACAACACGAAUGACAACCACCAAACCAGAAAAAUACCACCCCCAGUGUCACUGAAAACGCCCUGAACGCCUGUGGCACAGUGUCAUCCCAGGACAGGCUUCCAGAGAGGAAUCUCACCCUGUUUAUGUCAAGGGCAAAAAUCCUGUUGACUGCAAUGACAUCAGGAUUUCCCCUGGAGGGUUACCUGGGUUCCUCUCCUUCUGGAGAGAAGAGCCAUAUCCCACAUCAUUAUGCACAUCCUAAUAACAAAUAGAUAAUUCUUUUCCUUUAAAUUGUGGAUUGGAUUCCAGUAAACCCUGCAUUUUGGAUUCUAGGUUCCCUCUAUCUAGCUCUGCAAUCCCUAAAUAAACAAACAUUGGAUUAGACCUCAGCAGCUCCCUCCCUCAGCAACCAGAGGCUUUAAAAGCGUUUCACACCAACUGCCCUGCUCAUGUUUCAGACUCCGUUACUCACGGAUUCAGGGAGCUCCAUCUUCCUCUCAGACUUCCCAGGGAGCUCACCUCGGUGAUUGGAAGGUCUGCCUCCACUUGUGACCCUCCCUGACUCCAGCGAGGAGCUGGAAUUGCUGUUGACAUCAGGAAUGACAGAAGAUAAAUUACAGCUGGUUGCUGGUAAUCCUUGUGGCAUAUCAGAUAGCAGCGUAACUCGGCAAGGAAACAUAAAAUAAUGAAGGAAGUUUCACAAGGAGAAACGCUUCAAACACCUGUACUAGCCGAAGCUUUGCAGUCACAGCAGCUUUUAAUUCGCUGUGCACAUCCCCGGGUCCCCAUGCACGGCCAAACCCACACCUGGGUUUGGGGCACUGGGGGCUGCGCCAGCGCUGCCUUGCAGAAAACCCUCUCCACAAGCAAAUCUGCAAAUCCCGCUGGAUCAGGGAUAAUUUCACGGGAAUGUAGAGCUGCCUGCAACAAGAGGACACCCUCACGGCACGCACCAAGAUUAUCAAGGGAAACUUUCCUCGGCAGGAGUCAUGCACCCAUUGUAAAAGCCUGGAUUUUUUGGGAACAAAUGAUGUAAAACUAGUUUUAAAACAUUUUGCAACACGUUUUUGUGGGGAUGUGCCCUCGUUUCAUGUCCCACAGUGCCCCAGGGGUCUGGUUAUCUCCCGGUUACCUCGAGCACUGGUCCUACAUAAUUUAUGUCCUGAAAGAGACGAUUCAAUUAGUCAAUAAUAAAAUGAGCAAGGACAGCGUGUGCGUUGUAAAAAUAUAAUUUAGUGGGCAACAAGCUGAGAUGGAAAAAUAUAAGGGUACACUCCAUAUGAUUAAUGAAGGAAGAAUGUAUAUUUAUAGCUCUUAUUGUGUCCUUUGUAAGCAGAAGGAUCCGGCAGUAGGACUGGAACUGGCUGGUAACGAUGCGGCAUUCCAGUGAUUGGGAUUUGAAUGGCAAAUGCUGUAUAAAACUAAUUACCCUCAGGAGGAUGAAAAUACAUUUCAUUUGCCUUUUCGGA